AUUGAACGCUGGCGGCAUGCCUUACACAUGCAAGUCGAACGGCAGCACGGGUGCUUGCACCUGGUGGCGAGUGGCGAACGGGUGAGUAAUUCAUCGGAACAUGUCCUGUAGUGGGGGAUAGCCCGGCGAAAGCCGGAUUAAUACCGCAUACGAUCCACGGAUGAAAGCGGGGGACCUUCGGGCCUCGCGCUAUAGGGUUGGCCGAUGGCUGAUUAGCUAGUUGGUGGGGUAAAGGCCUACCAAGGCGACGAUCAGUAGCUGGUCUGAGAGGACGACCAGCCACACUGGGACUGAGACACGGCCCAGACUCCUACGGGAGGCAGCAGUGGGGAAUUUUGGACAAUGGGCGAAAGCCUGAUCCAGCAAUGCCGCGUGUGUGAAGAAGGCCUUCGGGUUGUAAAGCACUUUUGUCCGGAAAGAAAUCCUUGGCUCUAAUACAGUCGGGGGAUGACGGUACCGGAAGAAUAAGCACCGGCUAACUACGUG
rnacentral:rRNA from 1 species